GACGAACGCUGGCGGCGUGCUUAACACAUGCAAGUCGAACGGAAAGGCCCUGCUUGCAGGGUACUCUCGUGGCGAACGGGGGAGUAACACGCGGGUGAUCUGCCCUCCACAUCGGGAUAAGCCUCGGGAACUGGGGCUAUUAUCGGGUAUGACCCUCCAUGUUGGGGGGGGGGGGGGAAGAUUUAUCGGUGUGGGGGGGGCGCUCGGCCUAUCUCCUUGUUGGUGGGGUAUUGGCCUACCAAGGCGUGGACGGGUAGCCGGCCUGAGAGGGGGGACGGCCACAUUGGGACUGAGAUAGGGCCCAGACUCCUACGGGAGGCAGCAGUGGGGAAUAUUGCACAAUGGGCGGAAGCCUUAUGAAGCAACGCGGCGUGGGGGAUGACGGCCUUCGGGUUGUAAACCUCUUUCGACGGGGACGAAGCUUCGGUGACGGUACCUGUAGAAGAAGCACCGGCUAACUACGUG
rnacentral:rRNA from 1 species